UACGGAGGGUGCGAGCGUUUGUUCGGAAUCACUGGGCGUAAAGGGCGUGUAGGCGGUCUGCUAAGUCUGAUGUGAAAGCCCGGGGCUCACCCCCCGGAAGGGCAUUGGAAACUGGCGACUCGAGUCCCGGAGAGGAGGGUGGAAGUUCCUGGUGUAGCGGUGAAAUGCGCAGAUAUCAGGAGGAACACCGAUGGCGAAGGCAGGUCACUGGGCCGCAACUGACGCUGAGGAGCGAAAGCAUGGGGGAGCGAACAGG
rnacentral:rRNA from 1 species